CAGCCGCCACGGGAAUACGUAGGGUGCAAGCGUUAAUCGGAAUUACUGGGCGUAAAGCGUGCGCAGGCGGUCUGUUAAGACAGAUGUGAAAUCCCCGGGCUCAACCUGGGAAUUGCAUUUGUGACUGGCAAGCUAGAGUAUGGCAGAGGGGGUGGAAUUCCGCGUGUAGCAGUGAAAUGCGUAGAUAUGCGGAGGAACACCGAUGGCGAAGGCAGCCCCCUGGGCCAAUACUGACGCUCAUGCACGAAAGCGUGGAGAGCAAACAGGAUUAGAUACCCCUGUAGUCCCUGUCUCUUAUACA
rnacentral:rRNA from 1 species